UUAAAGUUAUUUGCAUAAUUCACUUAGACACUUUAUCUUAAGCUUGUUCCAAUUGAACAUCUUUAUUAGUUAAAAAAUAUAUCUAUCGAACAUUUUAUGACAAUAAACUAAAAAUAGAGAGGGUGUGUUAUACACUCGCGAAUGAUGUGGCAUAGUGACCAAUAAAAAAAAAAGACAUGUGGCAUGGACCCAUAAUAACAAUUCAAGAAAAAAAUAAAAUGAAAUUAUGUUUUUAGCCCCCCCCAAAAAAAAGGAAAAGAAAAAAAUCAUUCUUCCCCAAUUUCUUUUAAGCACAAUAUCCC
rnacentral:lncRNA from 1 species